UGGCUCAGAACGAACGCUGGCGGCGCGUUUAAGCAUGCAAGUCGAGCGGCAAGGGCCUUCGGGCCCUAGAGCGGCGGACGGGUGAGUAACACGUGGACAAUCUGCCCCCCGGCCCGGGAUAGCCCAGGGAAACCUGGAUUAAUACCGGAUGAGACGGGACCCGCGAUGGCGGGACCCAGGAAAGGCGCUGCGGCGCCGCCGGGGGAUGAGUCUGCGUCCCAUUAGCUAGACGGCGGGGUAACGGCCCACCGUGGCGACGAUGGGUAGCCGGCCUGAGAGGGUGGACGGCCACAUUGGAACUGAGACACGGUCCAGACUCCUACGGGAGGCAGCAGCUAAGAAUCUUCCGCAAUGGGCGAAAGCCUGACGGAAGCGACGCCGCGUGAACGAAGAAGGCCGUGAGGUUGUAAAGUUCUUUUCGGGAGGGGGAACAACCGUGGCAGGGAAUGGCCGCGGGAUGACGUGAAUCCCGGAAUAAGCCCCGGCUAACUACGUGCCAGCCGCCGC
rnacentral:rRNA from 1 species